GGUCCGGUCCCGGGCAAUGGGGGCCCGUGAACCGUGUCAGGGCCGGGAGGCAGCAGCACUAAGCGGGUCACCCCAUGUGCUGCGGGGCAGCCGGGCCGGAGCU
rnacentral:SRP_RNA from 1 species